UCUUGUCAUCCAUUUAUGUUUAGCUUAGAGCUUUUGACUCACUAUCAAAUAUUGAAUACAUCAAAUUAAGGUGAUGGAGACACAAAGCACAUCGGUUCUCCCACUGCAAAGCCACGCUCUCUUGAAAUACCUUCCGGUGCAGUUACUGUCGGACGUGUUGCUGAUAAGGCAGAUGUGGUCAUUCCGGUGCCUACAGUAUCUGGUGUACAUGCUCGGUUGCAAAACAUGGAGGAGUAUCUCGUAGUGACAGAUUUAGACAGCACGAAUGGCACAUUCAUUGGUGAGAAGAGGCUCCAACCUGGUGUGGCUGCUGCUGCAUUACCUGGAAGUAUCGUGACAUUUGGGGAUACCAAUUUGGCAAUAUUUCGAGUCGCAAAGCUUGAGAAGUUGGAAACUACUGCAUCUGAUUCUGAACCAGAAGAAGUUGAAGCUAAUACAAAAGAAGAAGAGCCAAGCAGCAGCUAAAAAGUCACAAAUUCCAUUUUUCUGCAAUAAUUUUGUAAACAGAGGAUAUAUAUAUAUAUAUAUAUGUGUGAUUUUGUUGAACUUAUGUUUGUCCAUUUUCUUCUUGACUUGGGUUUAAGUACCCCUUUGUUUUUCUUUCCCACCACUUUGUAUAUUACUUGGUUUUUGUUUCUUUUUCUUCUGUACUAAAAGACUAGUAUGUCAUUAUAUCUUCUGCAGAAAAUGGCCAAAUAUACCCUAAUGUAUUCAAUAUAGAAAAACUUUACCUUCCGUUUCAAAA